AGUCGAGCGGUAGAUUUUUUUAGCUUGCUAGAAAAUUUGAGAGCGGCGAACGGGUGAGUAACACGUUGGUAUCUGCCCCCAAGUCAGGGAUAGCCAUUGGAAACGAUGAUUAAUACCGGAUAGUCUCUUCGGAGUAAAGAUUUAUUGCUUGGGGAGGAACCUGCGGUCUAUCAGCUAGUUGGUGAGGUAAUAGCUCACCAAGGCUAUGACGGAUACCUGGUCUGAGAGGAUGAUCAGGCACAAUGGAACUGAGACACGGUCCAUACUCCUACGGGAGGCAGCAGUGAGGAAUCUUCCACAAUGGACGAAAGUCUGAUGGAGCGACACCGCGUGAAGGAUGAAGGCCUAACGGUUGUAAACUUCUUUUCUGAAGGAGCAUAAUGAGAGUACUUCAGGAAUAAGGGACGGCUAAAUACGUGCCAGCAGCCGCGGUAAUACGUAUGUCUCAAGCGUUACCCGGAAUCACUGGGUGUAAAGGGUUCGUAGGUGGUUAGAAAAGUUGGAUAUGAAAGACCGGAGCUCAACUCCGUGUUGGUGUUCAAAACUGUUUAACUAGAAUCAGGGAGAGGUAAGUGGAAUUCUGUGUGUAGGGGUGCAAUCCGUAGAUACACAGAGGAACACCAAAAGCGAAGGCAACUUACUGGAACUGUAUUGACGCUCAUGAACGAAAGCGUGGGUAGCGAAAAGGAUUAGAUACCCUUGUAGUCCACGCCCUAAACGAUGAUAACUCCCUGUUGCGACUAGCUCGCAGUGCUGAAGCUAACGCGUUAAGUUAUCCACCUGAGGAGUACGGCCGCAAGAUUAAAACUCAAAGGAAUAG
rnacentral:rRNA from 1 species